GAAUGGAAAGCCCGGUGCAAGCGGGGUACCAGCCACUUUGGCAAAUCCGGGUGGCAAUGGGAAGCCGUGAUGCGGAGCGAAAUAAAGUAGCGAAGUCCGUGAGCCAUGCGUCAAGAAAAGCCGCUAUCGUUUAUACCGUACCCGUACCGUAAACCGACACAGGUGGAUGAGGAGAGAAUCCUAAGGCCGGCGGAAGAAGCAUUGUCAAGGAACUCGGCAAAAUGGCCCCGUAACUUAGGGAUAAGGGGUGCCUGGGAAACCAGGCCGCAGAGAAUAGGCUCAAGCAACUGUUUAGCAAAAACACAGGUCUAUGCGAAACCGAAAGGUGAGGUAUAUGGGCUGACGCCUGCCCGGUGCUGGAAGGUUAAGAGGAGAGGUUAGCGGUAACGCGAAGCUUUGAAUUUAAGCCCCAGUAAACGGCGGCCGUAACUAUAACGGUCCUAAGGUAGCGAAAUUCCUUGUCGGGUAAGUUCCGACCCGCACGAAAGGCGUAAUGAUUUGAGCGCUGUCUCGACAAUGCAUCCGGUGAAAUUGAAGUACCAGUGAAGAUGCUGGUUACCUGCGCCAGGACGGAAAGACCCCAUGGAGCUUUACUCCAGUCUGGUACUGGGACUCGGUAUUGCAUGUACAGGAUAGGUGGGAGGCUGAGAAAUGGUAACGCCAGUUGCCAUGGAGCCGCUGUUGGGAUACCACCCUUGCAGUAUUGGGUUUCUAACCAGCCGCCGUGACCCGGCGGUGGGACAAUGCCAGACGGGGAGUUUGACUGGGGCGGUCGCCUCCGAAAGGGUAUCGGAGGCGCCCAAAGGUUCCCUCAGAAUGGACGGAAACCAUUCGAAGAGUGCAAAGGCAGAAGGGAGCUUGACUGCGACACCGACGGGUGGAGCAGGUACGAAAGUAGGGCUUAGUGAUCCGGUGGUAUUAAGUGGGAAUGCCAUCGCUCAACGGAUAAAAGCUACCCUGGAUAACAGGCUUAUCACUCCCAAGAGUUCACAUCGACGGAGUGGUUUGGCACCUCGAUGUCGGCUCAUCGCAUCCUGGGGCUGUAGUAGGUCCCAAGGGUUGGGCUGUUCGCCCAUUAAAGCGGUACGCGAGCUGGGUUCAGAACGUCGUGAGACAGUUCGGUCCCUAUCCGGCGUGGGCGUAGGAUAUCUGAGAGGAGCUGUCCUUAGUACGAGAGGACCGGGAUGGACGGGCCGCUGGUGCAUCGGUUAGACUGCCAAGUCUACGGCCGAGUAGCCAAGCCCGGAAGGGAUAAACGCUGAAGGCAUCUAAGCGUGAAGCCCCCCUUAAGAUGAGAUAUCCCAUUCGAAAGAAGUAAACCCCCUUGAAGACGACGAGGUAGAUAGGGCAGAGGUGGAAGUGCAGCAAUGCAUGGAGCUGACUGUUACUAAUCGGGUGAGGGCUUGACC
rnacentral:rRNA from 1 species